UACGAAGGGGGCUAGCGUUGUUCGGAAUUACUGGGCGUAAAGCGCACGUAGGCGGAAUGUUAAGUCAGGGGUGAAAUCCCGGGGCUCAACCCCGGAACUGCCUUUGAUACUGGCAUUCUCGAGUCCGGAAGAGGUGAGUGGAAUUCCGAGUGUAGAGGUGAAAUUCGUAGAUAUUCGGAGGAACACCAGUGGCGAAGGCGGCUCACUGGUCCGAUACUGACGCUGAGGAGCGAAAGCAUGGGUAGCGAACAGG
rnacentral:rRNA from 1 species